AUUGAACGCUGGCGGCAUGCCUAACACAUGCAAGUCGAACGGGGCAGCAAUGCCCAGUGGCGGACGGGUGAGGAAAACGUAGGAAUAUGCCCUUAAGUGGGGGAUAACCAGGGGAAACCAUGACGAAUACCGCAUGAUCUCUUCGGAGCAAAGAGGGGGACCGCAAGGCCUCUCGCGUCUGGAUGAGACUACGUCUGAUUAGCUAGUUGGUAGGGUAAAGGCCUACCAAGGCGACGAUCAGUAACUGGUCUGAGAGGAGGAUCGGUCACACCGGAACUGAGACACGGUCCGGACUCCUACGGGAGGCAGCAGUGGGGAAUAUUGGGCAAUGGGCGCAAGCCUGAUCCAGCAAUGCCGCGUGUGUGAAGAAGGCCUUCGGGUUGUAAAGCACUUUGGCCUGGAAAGAAAAAACUUUGGUUAACACCCAAAGUCUUGACGGUACCAGGAGAAUAAGCACCGGCUAACUCUGUGCCAGCCGCCGCCGUAAAAC
rnacentral:rRNA from 1 species